rnacentral:rRNA from 1 species
CCUACGGGUGGCAGCAGUGAGGAAUAUUGGUCAAUGGUCGCGAGACUGAACCAGCCAAGUAGCGUGAAGGAUGACUGCCCUACGGGUUGUAAACUUCUUUUAUCAGGGAAUAAAGUGAGGCACGCGUGCCUUUUUGUGUGUACUUUAUGAAUAAGGAUCGGCUAACUCCGUGCCAGCAGCCGCGGUAAUACGGAGGAUCCGAGCGUUAUCCGGAUUUAUUGGGUUUAAAGGGAGCGUAGGUGGGUUGUUAAGUCAGUUGUGAAAGUUUGCGGCUCAACCGUAAGAUUGCAGUUGAUACUGGCAGUCUUGAGUACAGUAGAGGUAGGCGGAAUGCGUGGUGUAGCGGUGAAAUGCUUAGAUAUCAAGAAGAACUCCGAUUGCGAAGGCAGCUUACUAAAUUGCCACUGACAUUGAGGCUCGAAAGCGUGGGUAUCAAACAGGAUUAGAUACCCUUGUAGUC